AAGAUACUUUGCAUCUAAAAGGGAUUUCAUCAUGGUGUUUAAGUUUCUAUCAGCAUGAAGAAAUUGUGCCUCUCUUUACAAAUCAUUGGUUCAUGCUAGGUAGGUAGUAAUGCAUACUCUCGUUUUACAAGUCUGUUCAACAAUGCAAAUGUUCACAUAAGUGUAGCUGAGAGAAACAGUUUUGCAGGUAAGUUACCACAACACUUGGCACAUAGCUUUUUUCAUGCAGCAUGUUAACAAUUAUUUUGAAAUAUGUUUACAGUGUAAAUCUCAUGUUACAUAUUGUGCAUUUAACCCUAUCAUCUUGUACGUUUCUCUUGUGUUGUCCUUUCAAAUCAGCUGUACAUUGAAAGUGAUGCCAGCCGACUAACUGAAUUUUUUUUUUUCUCUCAUAUGGCACUAACCAAGGAACCUAUAUGCACUUGAAUGUGACUUCAUUCUCCUCCACCAUUAAACGUGGUUCCCUGUCUUUGGAGUCUCCGGAGAAGUACCAUUCACUUAUUAACAUAGAAGAUGGUCUGUAUUCUUGCAAGCAGUGCACCUAUGUGACCAAGUCAACCUCACUAAUGAAAAAGCACCUUCGCAUACACACAGGCGAGCGCCCCUUCCUGUGCCAUUUGUGUCCUGCAGCCUUCCCUCAGAACUGCAACCUCAAGCGGCACUUGCGCACCCACGUAGGAGAGCGUCCCUUUUCCUGUGUCCACUGCAGUGCAUCCUUUUCGCAGAAAGGACACCUGGAAGACCACUUGCGCACCCACACAGGAGAGCGUCCCUUCUCUUGUCUCUACUGCACUUCAUCCUUUAAGUCAAAGUCCAACCUCAGGGUGCAUAUACGCAGCCACACAGGAGAGCGUCCCUUUUCCUGUAUGCACUGCGGUUAUUCCUUUACACAGAAAUGGAACCUCGUCAACCACAUCCCCCGUUGUCAUGCGAAGAAGAAACCCUGAAGGUCAGUUGUGUGCAACUUUUCUUGUGCCUCGGAAAGAUAGCUUCUCAGGGUAUAUUGUUUAGAGAAGAAUCACUCCACGGCAAACGUCCCAUCCAUUUUGGUGACCAUCUCAGCCAACUACUAUUCUGGCAGCAGUGCGCCAAUGUCACCACGAACAAGGCACAGACGAAUAUGCUCAUUUGCAAGCACACAUGCGAGCAUCCCAUCCAGUGCUACUUGUGUCCGGCUGCGUUCACUCAUACAGGAGAGCUUGCAAACCCAUAUAGACUAGAACACAGCGAAUUCCAUGCGCAGCGCCAUAUUUGCGUUGCGCCAUCUUAUCGCACAUGCGACGAAACAACAUUCCCCGGCUGCCAUGCCAGCAGACGCUACACAGAGCAAAUGCGAAACUCCCGAAACUCAUCCCGUCGGAGAGCGUGUUUCGCGUCUUUUCUAACCUGGACAUUUUCGCUGCUUUUAUUGGAAUAUCAAGAACACCUUGCUCAUGCAUGUCCACAAUGUAUAUAUACAGUAUGUGCUGAGCAGGCUGCGGAAGCAACCUCGUCAGGUACGUGCACUGUUACAUUUGUAAAAGAACGUUCUCACUGGUACGCAUGAAUCGUAAUUGCAGUGCAGCUCGCGAAAGAGUGACACGAUGUUUCGUUGCCCCAUAUUAUGAGUUGUGCACACAGAUUUGUGAAAACUCAUCAUUUCUUCAUGCAUCGCGUAAUAAUUAGAGUACGCUUUACGGGUGGUUUCGCGGAACGUAAUUUUUGUUUCACGAGCGCUCUUACAAUCACGCAUCUUGCUCACAAAAGCAUGCUAUCAGAGAGUCUCACGUGCAGUAUCGUUCAUCGAUCCCUUUUGGAAGCUAUCUGCGCUAUUUUAAUCUUGUAACUAUGAUGCUUUACAAGCGAAACUGUGCUACUCUUAGUUAAGCCGAUAUUGAAUUGGGCGGAAUCCAGCUGUCUUUUAUUAAAUGUGUGUGUUGUAUAAAUAAGCUAAAAAUUUAGCUGCUUGAGCUAGCGCUACGCCUACGACGUAAAGGACACUGGCAUGAGUACUGUUUACUUACGUGCCAAUAUAUGUAUUAUGUGCAGCUGGAUGCCUCGUGUCCAAAUAAAUUUGGGGACAUCAAACACUGAAAUGAAAGCACGAAAUUCUGGCCAGCUGUUGAGGAACACUGUACCAUUUACUACCUUUAGAAGACGAAAUCUUGAAGGCGUGGAUGCCAUCAAAAGCACUAAAGCUUAAUACUACGUUGAAAGUGGCAAAGCAUGCUGAUUGCUUGUGCUUGAAGGCACUACCUUGCACUACAUCUUCGUCAAAUGAAACGCUCAAAGGAAUGAAGUGCACCCCCACACAAAGCUCACGCAUGCCUUCAACCCAGCUGCGUGUUACGCAAAUUCGGUUCGUAAAAUGAAAUAGGUGGGCAUCACACUACAGAAUACACGCACUUAGUAUACUUACUCGCGCAUUCUCACUUGGCUCCUAGUUUUUCUGCUUGAAUCACAGUUAUCCACUCAUGGCGAAGCUGAAAACACCGCACCGGCACUAUUCGCGUGGCGCUUCGUGAUCAUCGCAGACAGCGCUAAUAUCCUCCUGUUGCAUUGCUUGUUUGGCAUCUAAAGACUACGCAGUAGUGCCCAGACGAGCUCUUAUACGCGGAAGCGGCGUGAACGGGUAGUUUUUCGCACUUUAAAGCCUCAGAACUGCAGCUUGCCCGGUUUACUUAGCGCAAGCAAUGCGCGCCUUGGCAGCCCGGUCAGCCCGGCAUCUGGGAGCGAGAGUAUCCAUAUCCACUCCGCUCGCCAGCAGCCUGGGUGCGAGACAGGCGUGCUCUGGUGUAUAGGAGAGCGUCCCUUUCCUUGUAUUUACUGGAAUUUCAUCCUUUUCCGUGAAGACCACCCUUCCCUAAUGCAGCAGUGGUGCUGCGUACCCACACAGGAGAGGUUGCCUUCUUCUGUGUCUGCUGUAAUAGAUCCUUUUGCUGAGACGCAACCCCUAAUUCCACGUCUCCAGCCAUCAUGCAAAGAAGUCCUAAACGUCGGUGCCGUAUGGACUUUCCCUGGAAGGAGAGGAGAAAGGUUUUGUAGUAGUUGUCGCCUUGCAUUUGAAGUUGCAGCAACAAGAGGGUUCUGAAUGCAAGGAGGUGGCACCUUGCAACAGAUAUUGAAGGUAGAGGCAGCAAUAAAGGCUUUUUCUUGUUACAA